GCAAACUCCACCAAGUGUAGAAAAAACUCAGCCUGAUGUCCUGUUUGACAAACUGACCUGCGGGUCACAACCUGAGUUUAUUGAUCCGUGGGGCCUUGUCUGGGUGCCGGGCAUGUUUUCUGGACUUUGGUUUCAGCUGCAUUCCUCACUUCUCAAAGAGGGGGUGUGGAUUUCUGCUCGGAGUAACCACUGGGAAGGAAGUAAUGUUCAUUAAGUGUGCAGGCAGUGCAGGACGAAGCAUGCUCAGUGCAAAAAGCUUCGCUCCCCUGCCUGUCAAGCCUGAGGUUUGAACUCGUUCCAGAAUGCCGGAUUUACUUUUCAGGAAGAAACAGCACCUGGCUGGGCUGCGCUUUUCCCUUCCCUCCUCCUCCUCCUCGGAGUGCAAAUAAUGUUCUUUUGAUGCUUUCCUGCCAGUGGGAAUCUCGCCCUGGAGAAGGAGACAAAACUUUGCUACCUGUGAAACGAAGACUGCUUAGGUAGCACUGGAAAUGAAAGCAAUUCUAUUUCCCACACAGGCUCCACAAAUGACUAACUUCAGUGGGAAUUGCUCAUGAAAAAGAGAAAGGAUCACCUGGAUUCUUCUGGAGCUGGGAAAUCUCCAGGAAAGACCUGCCCAAGGCACAGGAAGAAGAUCUGAGCUCUGCAGAGGCUCCAUCACACCUGGAGCUUCAGGCAAGCACCACCUCCCCUGCUUGGAGCUUCCCUGGUGAGUCCUUGUGAGCUCUCACACGCAGAAAUUGUGUCAGCAAAGUUUUAUUUCGUUCAGAUUUGAUGAGAAUUUGGUGCAUUAAUCAGGGUUCUUGUCCCCUGCCAGUGGCCAGCGUGUCACUGCACACUUGUGGAGGGUUUACAGAGUCCAGAACGCAACAAGAGCUACCCCAGAGUUGUGUCAGGAAAAGCUGAACCCUUGGAUUACAAACCUUUGGCUGAUCCCAAAUCCAUUCUGUGUUACCACUUUAAAUCACUGAUUAGACAACCCUCUG
rnacentral:lncRNA from 1 species